rnacentral:lncRNA from 1 species
GAUUAAAUACAGAAAAGAAGAUGUGGCCAAACCAUGACUCACGCUUCUGUCAAUGCAGAGCCCCAAAGGCAGAUGGAUGAGAAGAAAUGUUGCAGAGAACACGCCCUGCUGAAGCAAGCACAGGAUUCAGCAUUCCAUCAAGCUCCAGGUGACACUGGCACAGCAGACCUGUUUUUUUUUUUUUUUUUUUUUUUUUUGACAGGCAGAGUGGACAGUGAUAGAGAGACAGAGAGAAAGGUCUUCCUUUUCCGUUGGUUCACCCCCCAAUGGCCGCUGCGGCCAGCGCGCUGUGGCUGGCGCACGGUGCUGAUCUCAAGCCAGGAGCCAGGUGCUUCCUCUUGGUCUCCCGUGCAGGUGCAGGGCCCAAGCACUUGGGCCAUCCUCCACUGCACUCCCGGGCCACAGCAGAAAGCUGCCCUGGAAGAGGGGCAACCGGGAAAGAACCGGCCGGGACUAGAACCAGGGGUGCCAGCGCCACAGGCGGAGGAUUAGCCUAUUGAGCCGCGGCGCCGGCCCUGCUAGCCAUCCUUUAAACAUCCCAGACUCUUAGCUGUGGACAAGUGUCUGUAUAUACAUUUUUCCCUCUACAAAUUAAUCCUACUAUAGUCUUGUUGUAAAAUCUGCUUUUAAAAUUAUUUAUUUAUCUAUUUAAGAGGCAUAUAGAGACACACACAAAGAGCAAGCUCCCAUCUGCUGGUUCACUCCUCAACUCUCUACUGGGGGCCAAAGUUAGAACUCAAAACCAGAGCCAGGAACUCAAUACAAAUGCACUCCACUGUGGGUGGCAGGAACUCAAUAAUUUGAGCCAUCACUGCCUCCUCCCAGGGUCUGCAUUAACAGGAAGAUGGAGUCAGGAGCCAGAGUCAAGUACCAAAGCCAGGCGUUCUGAUGUGGGGCAUGACGUCCUAACCUGCCUGCUAACCACUAGACCAAUCAUAAGUCUUGACAACCUGUUUUUUUUUUUAAUUCAAUUAUCUAGGUUAACCGUCUUUGUAUAUUCAAAAAAUGCUCUUCUACAGAAAGAGUUUUGAUUGUACACAAGAGGUUGCAUUCUAAGGAUGUGUCACUAGCAGGGCAAUUUGGAAGGUGGGGAUUGCAGAUGGCAUGUCACACGGUCUGGGAAGUGCAACCCCACCAAGACCAAGGAUGGCGCUUCCCAAGCAAUCCCAAUGUACUGUCCCGCUCUUCUCUUCCUUCACAUAGAGAACAACUAAUUUAAUAAGUUCCCACUUGGGGGACCUUAAAUUUCUGUCAUCACAAACAAAGCAAAAUAGCUUUUCUGAGAAAAAUAAAGCACACUAAUCUCAUGAGGAAGAUGUUAUU